rnacentral:rRNA from 1 species
GACUGGGGCGGUCGCCUCCUAAAGUGUAACGGAGGCGCCCAAAGGUUCCCUCAGGUGGUUUGGAAAUCCACCGCAGAGUGUAAAGGCACAAGGGAGCUUGACUGCGAGACCGACAGGUCGAGCAGGGAAGAAAUUCGGGCUUAGUGAUCCGGCGGUUCUGAGUGGAAAGGCCGUCGCUCAACGGAUAAAAGGUACUCCGGGG